AUGGGUUUGCUUCCAACUCCUAAGCAAGUCUACGGUCGGACGCCACGGUAUCUAAAGAACAUCAAUAUGACUACAACUGAUGGAUCACCAUAUGAAGUUGAACAUGACGUUUGGGAGGUAAUAGCAAAGAUGAAGGAGCAUAUAAAAAAGCAAGACCAGAUUAUUAAAGAUAUGAAUAACAAAGAAGGCUAUGUCAAUAAUGGCAUAGAAGAGGAAAACCUCCAAUCAAAUGAUAAUGGUAUUUCUCGGUCACCAGUACUGCUUGGUAAAACAAAGAGAAUCCAGUGCAAUGGACCCGUUGAGGCACGCUCAUCUAUGCAACAUGACAUUCCUGAGGAUAAUAAUUUAUCAUGUUCGCAUGAAAAGGUUGGCGACCAUGAUGUCAACCAAUUACAAAUUCAACAAAAUUCAUCAUCACCACAAGACCUUGUUAUUGAUUCUGUGCUAGAGGUGAGGGAAAUGAGGAAUAUUACGGGUGGAUCUGUUUCAAGACCGAACCAGCAAAGGACUAGAACUGAACACCCACACCGCUCAAAAAAAAGGCGUUCUUCUUCCAUCAAGGCUGCUUCCAAAGUAGUCUUAAAGACUUCAACAUAUCCCAACAAGCGGAAUGUUGCGUAUGGUACUAUUGGGAGUACUGAUCCAAGAACUAAGGCUGGUGGUAUUGAGUUAGGUGCUGAAUUUGCUCUUGUGCGCAUAGACGAACCUAUUCUUGAUAAUGAGGAGUUGGUAAGGGAAGUUUCUGAUUGCAAGACAAUUGGCGAGGCUUUCACUUCAGGAUACUUAAUUGCCUGGCCUUCAGCUUUUAUUCGAGAGAAGGAUGGUUGA
rnacentral:rRNA from 1 species